rnacentral:rRNA from 1 species
GACGAACGCUGGCGGCGUGCUUAACACAUGCAAGUCGAACGGAAAGGCCCUGCUUGCAGGGUACUAGAGUGGCGAACGGGCGAGUAACACGGGGGUGAACUGCCCUGCACUUCGGGAUAAGCCUGGGAAACUGGGUACAAUACCGGAUAGGGGCCACUUUUAGUGGGUGGGUUGGAAAGUUUUUUCGGUGUAGGAUGAGCUCGCGGCCUAUCGGCGUGUUGGUGGGGUAAUGGCCUACCAAGGCGGCGACGGGACGCCGGCCUGUGAGGGUGGACGGCCAUCUUGGCUCUGAGAUACGGCCCCGACGCCUACGGGAGGCAGCAGUGGGGAAUAUUGCACAAUGGGCGCCAGCCUGAUGCAGCGACGCCGCGUGGGGUAUGACGGCCUUCGGGUUAUAAACUCCUUUCGCUAGGGACGAAGCUUUUUGUGACGGUACCUAGAGAAGAAGCACCGGCUAACUACGUG